CAAAAUCCCAAAAAAAACAUAUCCUCCGAGCCUUUCUCAGUUCUCCCCCACGCGCAGACCCAUGCAGGGCUAGCCGCCCCAACGCCUCGCUUCUUCGUCCGGCCAGCUGCCCCGCCGCCUCCCUUCCCCGUCCGUCCCGCCGCCCGCCGCCGACCCCAUGAGGUGCCCCCCUUCCUCGUCCGGCUAGCCGGGCGGCCGCUGACCCCUGCGCCGCUUCCUUUCCUCGACUGGCAAGCCGCCUCCGCCGUCUCCACCUCCGCCUCUUUCCCUCGUCCAGCAAGCCGCAUCCGCCAUCCCCCGCCGCCCCCGCCGCCUCCGGAUGGACCGGAUCUGUUGUUACCCUGCGCGGAUGUGCCGGCCUCUCCACCCAUAUUUCCGGAUCUGCACAGUCCCUCCAAGGUACCGAAGCAGCUGCCCCUGCAAAGCUCAUGCUACACCACACGGAGGAGAUCGCAGAGACAUAUUUGCUAUAUUGUGAUGAUGGAAGGUUUAGUACUAGUACUCUACUCCCAUCUGUCCAUGUGUCUCUGGAGCUUCUAUUUUUUUGAACACAAGCAUGUACUAAUCUAAUUUGGUUGCUGUUGGUUUGGGCCGUGAGUAGAGUGCAUGGCGUAGUACUAUUGAUAUUUUGUCCUUAAAGUGUCGGAACAAUUAUAUAGUGAUGUCCUGGAAUCCAAUUUGUUUUAGUAAUAUUGAUAUCUUAUAGUGCACGUUCAUAGUUGAUAGAAGUGAACCAUGAUAAAUAAUUAUUGGUAUGCUUAACAUAUAAAUACAGAUUGUUCUGUAACUUGGAGAUACUCCUCUGCAUUUGUAGCUUAUGUUUACACUGUUGUUUAGCAAUGUGGGGAUACAUUAUGCAAACACGAAGGUUGAACUCUUGAAUCUACAAAGCAUUAUGCAUCCUCACCUUGAACCCGCCGCCGGACCCCGAGGUGCCAUUCGACUUCACAUGAGGUACCAUCACUGAGCUGAUUGAGGGUCACCUUCGAAUUCAGACCGAUGCUAUCCAUCGCUGUCCAUUACGCCAUGCUUAUGUCCGCCUCAUGUCAGUUAGUGAUCGGGAUUGACUCGUUCGUAAUAGUCCUCUUGUGCAUAAUGGAGUUCAGUUUACCUUCUGUGAGCAUAACAAAGGUGUUAACUGGCGUUCUUUUACCUAUAACCAAGAGGUUUGGCUGAUGUUGCUUGGUUUUGCACCGGAUUUGUGAGAUUCCAAAAACAUUUCUAAUGCUAUUGCUAAGUGGGGUACUUUGAUUCAUUGGGAUAGAGUUGUCAGCAAUACUGUGAGGGUGGUUAUCAAAGUUAGAGUUACUGAGCUGGGCCACAUUCCACAUAGCAUUGUUGUGUCUCAUGGUGAUGAUGUCCAUGCUGAGUCAUGGUCAGUUCUUGUGUUUAUUCUGAACUAGAGUAUGCUUGGUGGUCAGCCACCUAAUGAAGAUUUGCCACCACCUGAUGGAGCACCUCCUCACCAGCUCCCCUUGGUUCCCUUUCAGAUGGAUCAACCACUGGCUUGCCUGGCCUGACUGGUUUGCCUGGCCUGCUAAUCAGGCACAGAAUGAAGGAAAUGGGAACAAUGAUCCCCUUCCAGACCUGAUGCAGGUGAAUUUGGAUCCAUUGGGUAAUGUUAAUCCUGUUAUGGACAUGGAUCAGAUGCUGGCUGAUAUUGAGGAACUUGAUGAUGAUAGUGCUAUCACCCUCACGCUGAGUAGCAAUGCUCCUGCUAUUAGCUCUGAAGGUUCUGUGAAUGGGGAGUGGGGAGCAAUUUCAUCAGUUUCAUCAGGUUGAACCUGUCAUUAACCAAGAUCUGAUUGUGGGAAGGGUCAACAUUCCUGAAGUUAUUCAUUCUUUGGAUGACUUCCCUGCACUGAAUGGGCCUCAUCUUACUAUGCCUCAUUAUGAGAAGCUUGAGGUCACUAAUGAAGAAAAACUGAUCUCUCCUUGUCGUGGUGGUGUCACGGCAAAUGCCAUAGGAUGGCUUGAGAUGGGGCCGAUGGACGAAGGAGGAUCCGGAGGAGGGAUGGCGCGGUGUAAACCACGCACGAAAGUAAGGACACACGGUGUUUACCUAGGUUCGGAGCCCUCUUCAUGAGGUAAAGCUCCUACUCCUGCCUUGUUCGUAUUAGCCAAGAUAUGGAGGGCUACAAUGGUGCUCCUUGAUCUGUUUACAGAGGAGGAAGAAGGAGAAGGAGAACUCCUAAAAUGUCUAAGUGAGGAAUCCCCUCUCACAGGAGGGGUGGACCUUCUAUUUAUAGGCCAAAGGUGUCACACUGACAUGUGGACCCAAAGCAAACCCUAGCUACCAUCGGGCCCGCCGGGUACGCCCAUGGUCCCCUCCGGAUUGUCCGGGAGGGGACAAUGCAGCUUUGUGCUUUACGUACUGCCAGACUGCGCGUACUGUAGCCAUGCCCCGGCCUUCGUCAUCUGUCCUUCUACGGCGCGUCACUGUGCAGUCGCUCGGCAGAGCGACAUGAGCAACGACUGCUUUUCCGUCAUAAAGGGGUCGCUGCUUUACUUUGCGCCAUGUGAUCAGGAUAGGACUGUUGGCGCAUCCCGGCCUUAGCCGAGAUCAGCUAGUUCGUGCUUAUCCUGCGAUCACAUAAGACAAGAUAGAUAUGCCGGCACACUUUUGAUAUGCCGGCCGGUUAUUAAGUCGGCUUAAAGAUGCCGACGUACUUGCUUACGCCGGCUUUGCUCCCGUUAUCCCGGUUAAUACGUGUUGUCAUGACCCUACCUGGGGUCAUCCCCCCGACACUAGUCCCCGAAUCUGUUGCGGUUCGACAGGAAGUGAUGUCGGGCCACGACAGUUUCCCAAAACUCAAACAACUCAGGGCCUAGGAGGACUCGACCAAGGAAAACGCCGAUACAAUCCCGAGCUUUCUUAGCCGAGACUUGGCACCACCGACAUUUUUAGUCGGCGUGGUAUUUUCAGCUUUGAACCGAGAUUCCUCUCUUAAUCGCGGCCAGCAAUUGAGAACCUUUUUCUAUGGCCGACAUCAAUGCCACAUGUCGCGCUUAUUCCGCGCCUCACUUGGAUUUACUGCGCCACGUUGCGCAGUAACCGAGCGUGCGCCGUUUAUGGGGUUAAUCGCUCCCAUGAUCACGCGCUAUUUUACCGUUGGCCACAGGGAUCGUCGGUGUGGAAGAUCCGCGGCCCAUGAUUGCGCCCCGGCUAUAAAUAAGGGGACGGGGUGAAAGCUUUUACUUCCCCCCGAAACCCUUGCUUCUUCACUGCUCUCGCGCGUCCGCCAUUGCCGCACGCUCGGAGCUCCUUACCGCCGCGUUCCUUGCCUCUGGUAGCCAAGCUCGCCGUUGCACUCUUGCGCGCGCUCGUCUGCGUUUCCGCCGCUCUUCCCUUGCUCGCCCGCGCCUCGCGCUGCCACUCUCUCGCCGGAGCAGACCCAGAUUUGUUUCUGCGCCAUGGCCUCUUCUUCUCGUUACGCCGCCGCCGUCGACCCCGCCGUUCUGCAAAUCGAGGAGGACGCCGGCUCGGAGCGUGCCGGAUGGAAGGGCUCCGACGUGUCUCCGGCGGACAUCGACUGGCACCGCCGCACCCGGCGGAUCCCGGAGGAGGUGGAGUGCCGGAUUCCUGAUGAUGGGGUCGUGCCGACACCUGAGCCCGGUGAGUUUGUUGUCUUCGUUUCGCAUUUCGAACGCGGCUUCAGGCUCCCGGUUACUGAUUUGGUCCGGCAGUUUCUUGACCAUUUCUUGACCAUUUUGGCCUCCAGCCUCAGCACCUUCCGGCCAAUGCCAUUCUUACCCGCUCCGCUUUUGUCACCUGCUCUGAGAGCUAUCUCGGCCUCUGGCCUUCCGUUGAUCUGUGGGCCAAAUAUUUUAUGUUCCGGCCCCAGGUUCUUCACAAUCCCGACGCCGUUAAGCCCAUGACUCAAUGCGGCCCCGCCACUGUCUUGAGUCCUGCAAAAAGUGGCUCAAGACCUUUUUCUAUGUCAUGAACGCCUCUGACACUGACAAAAUAAAUUUGUCGGGAUUCAUAGUCAGCCCGUCGGAGGAGAAAAGAACUGGAAACAUGACCCCAAGGAUUCUCUACCGGAGAUUAAUGAGGUUCAUUCCGGCAUCAUCGCGCUGAAGUAGAACGGGAUGACGGCUGACGAUCUGUUGGCCACGUUUGUGUUCCGGUGAGUCUGCCCGCUCCAACGCCGGACACACAAGAUGUGUUUCCACAGCGGCCGGUUUGACCCGAACCGAGUUUCAACCAUCAUGUUGGACAAAUUCGAGGUUCGACGCCGAGUCAAGGGGAUUGCUAAGACUAACCUGUCCGAGAACUGGAGUUGGGGCAUGGUACCAUAUAUCCAGAAGAACCAUGCGCCCUUGAAAUUUACGCUCCAACGCAAUGAGGACGGGGACUCGCUAGACAAGCGCUUCGGAAGCGAUCGCUUGGGAGUUGACUCAGAAGACCCGGAUUCGGAGCAUCACAUGCCGAUUCCUCAUGCCGACCCCAGACGUGUUGUAGGUAAUAACUCCCGACCUCCUCUCAUGGAUAUCAGAGCUCUUAUCUCCAAAAUGCUCAUGUCUGCUUUUGUCCGGGAACAACUGACUUGGACGAUCCGAGCCUUGCUGCGGCCCUUGCUGCUGCUCAGGUGUCGACCGGCGAGAAGCGCAUUGCCGACACAGAGCUUUCCACGACUAUGAAGCGGAAGAAAACCGCUGGCUGGCAACCGAAGCCGAAACCCAUGGUCGUCGGGUAGGCUCCGACUGCCACCCAGUCCCAGACCUGCAUCGCGUCCGAGAUCCCGGCAACCUCGUCUCCGUGCAGAGCCUUCUGCUCAGGCCACGGAAGAAACCGAGACCGCCACAGAUCCGACAUCCCCCAUCCAGGAUGUCGGCCCUGGCAUCGGUGCUUCGAGCGUCGCCCAAGCUGGGACGUCGGCAGUCGAGACUGCUCCUUCGCCAGCAGCGCCUAAUGCGUAGCCGCAACCAUUGGCCGCGGAUCCUCUUCGUCAGCCGGCGGCGCAGCCUCAACGACCUCAAGCCACAGCAACGCCGCCGCAGCAGCAGCCACCGCAGUCGCAACCGACGCAGCUAGCGGCUGCUCGAGAAAAAAAGACUAGGAGUUAUGCCAUCCCGACGGGACAGCAGCCUCUAAGUUCAUCCGGCUCACCGUCAAUUCGGGGUACUCAAGGAGUUCCUCUUAGGACAACGAGCGGGCACAGCUGGGGAUCUCUCAGCCAAUAUGCCAUGGACUGGAACAGCGCCGACAGCUACGAGGUUAACCCCGGCACAAUCCAGACAGCGCAGCAGAAUGCUCUGGUUGGGCCAUCACCCGUGGCGGCGACUUCAGAGUCGGUGGCGGCCCGGAUAUUCCAGGCACGAGUUGCGCUGUUCGAGUCCAGCCGAGCUGCCGAGAGCUGUAUGAAUAAACGGAACUCGAUCUUCAAACUUCUGCUUGCGUCACACCGGAAAUUGACGGACAAGCACAAGGCUUUGGUGGCCGAGCUGCAAAACAAGACUCAGUACACUUCCACCGACAUACAAACUAUACCGAGUUACCUAUGUACUUUGAAAACUGACAUGUGCCGACAUAAACAGCUAGCGGAGAUUCAACUAGCGGAGCAGCAACGAGAUGAGGUGGCCCGGCUAAGGGCGCAACUUGAAGCGCAAGGCGAGGCGCAUAAGGCCGAGGUAGUCCAACUUACCUCAGUGCUUUCUGCGCAAGCUGACGAGAAGAUCCGCCUGGAAGGCGAAGUCCAAAAUACAAGGAUCUUCUCGCCGAACCCGAGACUCGAGCUACCACUGCUGAAGAGGAGAAGACCGAGAGCACACAUAUGCUAAGCGUGUGCACAAGGGAUCUCGGCAAGAUAGAUGGAUUGCUAGCCAAAAUCUUCCCGCAUUCUACCGAAGCUGUGCAGGCCGCCGUGAUUAAAACUCGUGGAAAGAGGGAUUCGUCCAAGGCAUUGCCAUCAGAUUUUUCUCGGAGAGCGAACCUUGCGAGUGUGACGAGUGUUUGAACUCGAACUACUGUG